rnacentral:lncRNA from 1 species
UUUAAAAGUGUUUUAAUUACAAAUGUGGUUUUGAAGCCAGGACACACAAUGCCGACACCCUCCUGCUGAGAACCCACACUGUGUACAGCUGCAUGUGUGCGGAGGCGGACACGCACAGUGGUGAGGACACCCCCGAGGCGGGUCACACAUGCAUGACAGGGACAGGUCGACUGUCGUGCGUGCAGGACUCACUCUGUGUGAGGGCGUGGCCU